AAUCUACUCUUUCGUGGGGGAUAACGUAGGGAAACUUACGCUAAUACCGCAUACGACCUACGGGUGAAAGCAGGGGACCUUCGGGCCUUGCGCGAUUGAAUGAGCCGAUGUCGGAUUAGCUAGUUGGCGGGGUAAAGGCCCACCAAGGCGACGAUCCGUAGCUGGUCUGAGAGGAUGAUCAGCCACACUGGAACUGAGACACGGUCCAGACUCCUACGGGAGGCAGCAGUGGGGAAUAUUGGACAAUGGGCGCAAGCCUGAUCCAGCCAUACCGCGUGGGUGAAGAAGGCCUUCGGGUUGUAAAGCCCUUUUGUUGGGAAAGAAAUCCAGCCGGUUAAUACCUGGUUGGGAUGACGGUACCCAAAGAAUAAGCACCGGCUAACUUCGUGCCAGCAGCCGCGGUAAUACGAAGGGUGCAAGCGUUACUCGGAAUUACUGGGCGUAAAGCGUGCGUAGGUGGUCGUUUUAAGUCUGUUGUGAAAGCCCUGGGCUCAACCUGGGAACUUGCAGUGGAAACUG
rnacentral:rRNA from 1 species